rnacentral:rRNA from 1 species
AGCUCUUGCUAUUAGAUGAGCCUAAAUCAGAUUAGCUAGUUGGUGGGGUAAAGGCCCACCAAGGCGACGAUCUGUAACUGGUCUGAGAGGAUGAUCAGUCACACCGGAACUGAGACACGGUCCGGACUCCUACGGGAGGCAGCAGUGGGGAAUAUUGGACAAUGGGGGCAACCCUGAUCCAGCCAUGCCGCGUGUGUGAAGAAGGCCUUUUGGUUGUAAAGCACUUUAAGCAGGGAGGAGAGGCUAAUGGUUAAUACCCAUUAGAUUAGACGUUACCUGCAGAAUAAGCACCGGCUAACUCUGUGCCAGCAGCCGCGGUAAUACAGAGGGUGCGAGCGUUAAUCGGAAUUACUGGGCGUAAAGCGAGUGUAGGUGGCUCAUUAAGUCACAUGUGAAAUCCCCGGGCUUAACCUGGGAACUGCAUGUGAUACUGGUGGUGCUAGAAUAUGUGAGAGGGAAGUAGAAUUCCAGGUGUAGCGGUGAAAUGCGUAGAGAUCUGGAGGAAUACCGAUGGCGAAGGCAGCUUCCUGGCAUAAUAUUGACACUGAGAUUCGAAAGCGUGGGUAGCAAACAGGAUUAGAUACCCUGGUAGUCCACGCCGUAAACGAUGUCUACUAGCCGUUGGGGUCCUUGAGACUUUAGUGGCGCAGUUAACGCGAUAAGUAGACCGCCUGGGGAGUACGGCCGCAAGGUUAAAACUCAAAUGAAUUGAC